UACGGAGGGUGCAAACGUUGCUCGGAAUUACUGGGCGUAAAGCGUACGUAGGCGGCUUUGUAAGUUAGAGGUGAAAGCCUGAUGCCUCAACAUCAGAAUUGCCUUUAAGACUGCAUCGCUUGAAUCGUGGAGAGGUAAGUGGAAUUCCGAGUGUAGAGGUGAAAUUCGUAGAUAUUACGGAAGAACACCAGUGGCGAAGGCGGCUUACUGGACACGUAUUGACGCUGAGGUACGAAAGCGUGGGGAGCAACAGGA
rnacentral:rRNA from 1 species